AUUGAACGCUGGCGGCAGGCCUAACACAUGCAAGUCGAACGAGUGGCGGACGGGUGAGUAAUGUCUGGGAAACUGCCUGAUGGAGGGGGAUAACUACUGGAAACGGUAGCUAAUACCGCAUACCAUCGGAUGUGCCCAGAUGGGAUUAGCUAGUGGGUGGGGUAACGGCUCACCUAGGGGACGAUCCCUAGCUGGUCUGCGAGGAUGACCAGCGACACUGGAACUGAGACACGGUCCAGACUCCUACGGGAGGCAGCAGUGGGGAAUAUUGCACAAUGGGGGCAAGCCUGAUGCAGCCAUGCGGCGUGUAUGAAGAAGGCCUUCGGGUUGUAAAGGACUUGCAGGGGGGAGGCGGUACCCGCAGAAGAAGCACCGGCUAACGCCGUGCCAGCAGCCGCGGUAAUAC
rnacentral:rRNA from 1 species